AACGAACGCUGGCGGCAUGCCUAACACAUGCAAGUCGAACGAGACCUUCGGGUCUAGUGGCGCACGGGUGCGUAACGCGUGGGAACCUGCCCUUAGGUUCGGAAUAACUCCCCGAAAGGGGUGCUAAUACCGGAUAAUGUCUUCGGACCAAAGAUUUAUCGCCUUUGGAUGGGCCCGCGUUGGAUUAGCUAGUUGGUAGGGUAAAAGCCUACCAAGGCGACGAUCCAUAGCUGGUCGGAGAGGAUGAUCAGCCACACUGGGACUGAGACACGGCCCAGACUCCUACGGGAGGCAGCAGUGGGGAAUAUUGGACGAUGGGCGAAAGCCUGAUCCAGCAAUGCCGCGUGAGUGAUGAAGGCCUUAGGGUUGUAAAGCUCUUUUACCCGGGAUGAUAAUGACAGUACCGGGAGAAUAAGCUCCGGCUAACUCCGUG
rnacentral:rRNA from 1 species